UCAUGGUGCCUCUGUCAGUCUCCUCCCCCUCUCCACUCUCCUCUCCUCUCCACCUGGCUGCUGAUCAUCCCCAGCUGCAACCACUCAUCUCGUCCCCUCACCUGCCUACUUAAGGAGCUCCAGGACCUUCAUUCCCCGCCAGUCCGUUGCCCCUGAUGGAAUCUCCUACCUCGAGUGGUUGCAUGUUUUUCCCCACUUCCGGAUCUCCAGUCGGGUCUCCUUCCACGGUCACACCACGAGCCUCUGCCUCUGCUUCACGUUCCUGUGUCCAAGACGGCCAUCUCCCUCUUGGAGGACAAGAUCGCCUACUACGCCUCCAACCUCUGCCUCCUGCUCGGAGCCUGCUUCCUGUCCUGUUCAGGACCCAACCUUCUCACCACAUUAUUAAAAUUAUUGCCUUCCA